GUUGAAGUGGUAGAAUGAAAUGCGUCGGAUUUAAGCUCCGGAGGUAGGGUUUACCCUCUUUAACA
rnacentral:tRNA from 1 species